UACGGAGGGUGCAAGCGUUAUCCGGAUUCACUGGGCGUAAAGGGUGCGUAGGCGGCGCGGUAAGUCGGGUGUGAAAUCUCGGAGCUUAACUCCGAAACUGCAUUCGAUACUGCCGUGCUUGAGGACUGGAGAGGAGACUGGAAUUUACGGUGUAGCGGUGAAAUGCGUAGAUAUCGUAAGGAAGACCAGUGGCGAAGGCGGGUCUCUGGACAGUUCCUGACGCUGAGGCACGAAGGUCAGGGGAGCAAACGGG
rnacentral:rRNA from 1 species